rnacentral:piRNA from 1 species
UAAUUUUAUUCAUCAUGUAAC